UACAGAGGGGGGCAAGCGUUGUUCGGAAUUACUGGGCGUAAAGGGCGCGUAGGCGGCCUGUUAAGUCGAACGUGAAAUCCCUGGGCUCAACCCCAGGAACUGCGUCCGAUACUGGCAGGCUUGAAUUCGGGAGAGGGAUGUGGAAUUCCAGGUGUAGCGGUGAAAUGCGUAGAUAUCUGGAGGAACACCGGUGGCGAAGGCGGCAUCCUGGACCGAUAUUGACGCUGAGGCGCGAAAGCCAGGGGAGCAAACGGG
rnacentral:rRNA from 1 species